AUUUUUGCUGUACAAUAACAUUUCUCUUUUAUUUCACCAUCAUAUUUUUUUUCCAAGUUUUUGUUUUUAAUCACUAGAAACAGUUUCGUAAUACAACACAAAUAUAAACAAUCUGUAAUGUCCAAUAACUACAGCAGACGUGGAGACAUAAAGACAUGUAUAUACAACCAACUGAAACAAGUCUUUACAGACGAAACACAAAGAGUUUUUUUUUUUUUUUUAAAUGCUACACAGCCUUUAAAAUAGAUAUCACUAAGAGAACGAAACAAAUAAAGUGUUUCAAAUGAAAGUGAAUAACACAGAUCUGAAUGUUGCUGUAUCUAAUGAUAUACUUGUCAUGGACAAAUACAGGAAGGAAAGGAGGCUUAUGGGCUCGUCUACAGCUUUAUCCAGGCGAAGGGCGCAGGCCAUUAUAUAAUGGGCUAGUUACAGUGGCGUAGCUAGAGAUAUACGGGGGGGGGGGG